GACGUAGGGGGCGAGCGUUGUUCGGAAUUACUGGGCGUAAAGCGCACGUAGGCGGAUCGAUCAGUCAGGGGUGAAAUCCCAGAGCUCAACUCUGGAACUGCCUUUGAUACUGUCGGUCUAGAGUAUGGAAGAGGUGAGUGGAAUUCCGAGUGUAGAGGUGAAAUUCGUAGAUAUUCGGAGGAACACCAGUGGCGAAGGCGGCUCACUGGUCCAUUACUGACGCUGAGGUGCGAAAGCGUGGGGAGCAAACAGG
rnacentral:rRNA from 1 species